GACGAAGGGGGCUAGCGUUGUUCGGAAUUACUGGGCGUAAAGCGUGCGCAGGCGGUUCUGAAAGUCAGCUGUGAAAGCCCCGGGCUUAACCUGGGAAUGGCGGUUGAAACUACAGGACUAGAAUCUGGCAGAGGGGGGUGGAAUUCCACGUGUAGCAGUGAAAUGCGUAGAGAUGUGGAGGAACACCGAUGGCGAAGGCAGCCCCCUGGGCUGAGAUUGACGCUCAGGCACGAAAGCGUGGGGAGCAAACAGG
rnacentral:rRNA from 1 species